GACGAACGCUGGCGGCGUGCUUAACACAUGCAAGUCGAACGGAAAGGCCCUGCUUUUGUGGGGUGCUCGAGUGGCGAAGGGGUGAGUAACACGUGGGUAACCUGCCCUUGACUGUGGGAGAACUUAAGGAAACUGGAGCUAAUACCGGCUAGGAGCUCCUGCUGCAGGGUGGGGGCUGGAAAGUUUCGGCGGUUGGGGAUGGAAUAGCGGCUUAUCAGCUUGUUGGGUGGGUAGUGGCUUACCAAGGCCAGGAAGGGUAGCCGGCCUGGGAGGGUCACCGGACACACUGGGACGGAGAUACGGCACAGACUACUAUGGGAGGCAGGAGUGGGGAAGAUUGCAUAAUGGGCGGAAGGCAGAUGCAGCACCGCCGCGCGCGGGAUGACGGCCAGCGGGUUGUAAACUGAUUUCGCCUGUGACGAGGCGUGAGUGACGGUAAUGGGUAAAGAAGCACCGGCUAACUACGUG
rnacentral:rRNA from 1 species